AUGGCGGCGUUUGUGCGCCGGCCCGAAAUUUCUUGUGUCUUGUGUCUUCUUCUACCUUUAGCCGUGUGUGAGAGAGGAGGCUGCGGUUCCAACAGGUUCCACCUAGUGGACCUUUUCCCAUCAUCUCUGUUGGUACGGCUGCUGAGCGGUGCCACGAGUCAUCUCCGGUCGUGCCACUCCCGGAUCCAGAGAAUCCUGGGAGACAUCCUAGUUGAGCGGAAGGAGAAGGAAGCUGCCUCUGACAGCGCCGGCAGGAGAGAUGACGAGGACCUGCUAGACGUGCUCCUUAGGCUGCAGAAAGAAGACACCCUCAAUUUCCCUUUAACAUCUGAGAUCAUCGGCGCAGUCAUCUUCGAUAUAUUUGCAGCUGCAACCGACACCUCCGCUACCACGCUAGAAUGGGCCAUGUCAGAAUUAAUCCGCAACCCAGAGGUGAUGACUAGGACGAAACUCGAAGUUCGACAGAUCAGUCUAGCACCAGGGCAAUCCAUGAUAACGAGCGCAGACCUCGGCAAUCUCCACUACCUCCGAAGGGUGAUCAAGGAAACACUAAGGCUACACCCACCCGCGGCGGUGAUACGCAGGGCAGCCCGAGAAAGGUGCCAGGUGAUGGGCUACAACAUACCCAAAGAUAUCCCUGUGAUGAUAAACUUGUUCGCAGUGGGGAGGGACGCGAGGCACUGGGGGCAGGACGCGGCGGAGUUCAGGCCCGAGAGGUUCGACGCCAUGAACGUGGAGUACAGCCCGGGGUCGCAGAUGGAGUUCAUCCCGUUUGGGUUUGGCCGUAGGCAGUGCCCCGGAGCCCGGAUGGCGACGACGACGAUUGAGCUCGUGCUUGCCAAUCUGCUGUACCAAUUUGACUGGGCGAUUCCGGGUGGGACAAGCCCGGAGUCGCUGGAAAUGAGCGAGGUAUUUGGGUUAACUGUGCGUCGCAGCUCCAACCUGUGCCUGCAGGCAGCAAAUCGCCGUCCACAGCUGCACUAG
rnacentral:rRNA from 1 species